UAGCUCAGUUGGUAGAGCAUGGUGUUUGCAACGCCAGGGUUGUGGGUUAGAUUCCCAC
rnacentral:tRNA from 1 species